CACUAGGAAGCUAAACUGGGACUAGCAUUAGCCUUUUAAGCUAAAGAUUGGUGAUCCCCCAACCACCUCUAGUGA
rnacentral:tRNA from 1 species